AUGUUCACCUUUAUAUUCAUGUGUAUGUGGAUUUCACUAGGUGACUCCACAACAGAUCCAAUCAAGCCACUUGAUCCACAUAAAAGUGUAACUGAAGGUGAUACUGUUACUCUGUCCUGCAGCUACAAAGACUUCACUGAUACAGUUAACAAUCUGCAGUGGUACCGGCAAUAUCCAAAAUCUAAACCAGAGUUCCUUCUUAUCAGCUUUCUCUCUGGAGAUCCAAGUAAAAACAUUCCAUUACGUUUGUCUGUUGAAGUUCAUCAGGAUCAGAAACAAGUGCAUCUGAACAUCUCCUCUGCUGCAGUAUCAGACUUUGCAAUAUAUCACUGUCUUGAUAUGUCUGAGCUGGAUGUCAGAAUUAUCUUUCUGAAUCAUUCGGUCACCAACACCACUGUCAAGAGCUGGAACACACUCACCUAG